GCAGCCGUGGACGAAUGUCGUGGCCGCGCCUGCUCAGUGUCAGCCUCCCAUCCAUGUUGUGUUCCAAGCAGCCGAAGAACUCGUACAGUUCAUUUUUAUUACAGGAGGUGAUUUGAAUUAAAACAAAAAUUCUGUGGUGUCUGCGGUCUGCCUAAAUCAAAUUUCCAUCUCUACAUUAAUGAAUAGAGUAUGAGCCAUCCAUGGGACAAAACAACGUGG